GUCUCAUGUAGCCCAGGGUGACUCUGAGCCCC
rnacentral:piRNA from 1 species